AAUCCUUGAUUCGUAGGAGUGGUCUUGCAGCUGAGACUUGGAAAAGAUGCCAAGAUAUAUAAGUCAGGUUUUUCUAUAAAACACUGAUCAACGAACUGAACUUGCUGGUAGAGACCACAAUUCUGCUGGGAACUUAUAAGAUAGGCUAAACAUAUAGGACGAAACAGACAGAAAGAAUGGCUCGUAUCAUUCCACUGCUCCUUUUGAUUACCUUAUCAUUGUGUGUUACAACACAGAGUCGUUCGCAACUGGGCCGCUGGACGAAUAGAAGGCUUGUAAUAAAACCGAAGCCGAAAGGGGAUGCUUCUUCAACAACUAAAGUGAAUCUAAACGAUGAUGAAUUGCAGAAUACUGCCCUUCCCUCUCAAUCCAACGGUACGCCAGAUUCUGAUAAAAGUAUUGAACAACUUGAGAAUUGGAAAUUGAUGAACAGUGCAUAUGAUAACACAAUACGACACGAUCCAUUUUAUCGACGAAAUGAAAUCACUUACUGAGUAUUCAUAGGACAAUCCCUUCCAAGAGCUGUCAUCCGUCAAUAUGAAGGAUCUAACGGAAGAAAGAAGGCGAAAAGUAAAGGUGGAUAUUUUUAAACAAA